rnacentral:rRNA from 1 species
UACAGAGGUCCCAAGCGUUGUUCGGAUUCACUGGGCGUAAAGGGUGCGUAGGUGGUCGGGUAAGUCCGAGGUGAAAUCUCCAAGCUUAACUUGGAAACUGCCUUGGAUACUAUUCGGCUGGAGGGUUGGAGGGGGGACUGGAAUGCUUGGUGUAGCAGUGAAAUGCGUAGAUAUCAAGCGGAACACCAGUGGCGAAGGCGAGUCCCUGGACAACUCCUGACACUGAGGCACGAAAGCUAGGGGAGCAAACAGG